rnacentral:rRNA from 1 species
GGGCGUUAAGUUGCAGGGUAUAGACCCGAAACCCGGUGAUCUAGCCAUGGGCAGGUUGAAGGUUGGGUAACACUAACUGGAGGACCGAACCGACUAAUGUUGAAAAAUUAGCGGAUGACCUGUGGCUGGGGGUGAAAGGCCAAUCAAACCGGGAGAUAGCUGGUUCUCCCCGAAAGCUAUUUAGGUAGCGCCUCGUGAAUUCAUCUCCGGGGGUAGAGC